UAUGCUGUGUGGUAUUGCUUCUCCAUUUCAGAGUAUUCCAGCGGUGGCGCCGCCGACGCCGCUUCCUCCGCUGUCGCCGCCGCCUACAACAUGGCCGGACCAAACAGAGGGUGCCCAAGCGAUGAUGCCGCCGCCUCGUACGCCGGCAACGGGACCUGCCGGGGAAGUGGGUGCCCAAACGAUGCCGCCACCGCCGCCGCUACCGCCCAUCCCACCUACACCGCCUACGACGGCGCCGAACCAAGAGGCGG